rnacentral:rRNA from 1 species
GAUGAACGCUGGCGGCGUGCCUAAUACAUGCAAGUCGAGCGAACGGACGAGAAGCUUGCUUCUCUGAUGUUAGCGGCGGACGGGUGAGUAACACGUGGAUAACCUACCUAUAAGACUGGGAUAACUUCGGGAAACCGUAGCUAAUACCGGAUAAUAUUUUGAACCGCAUGGUUCAAAAGUGAAAGACGGUCUUGCUGUCACUUAUAGAUGGAUCCGCGCUGCAUUAGCUAGUUGGUAAGGUAACGGCUUACCAAGGCAACGACGCAUAGCCGACCUGAGAGGGUGAUAGGCCACACUGGAACUGAGACACGGUCCAGACUCCUAAGGGAGGCAGCAGUAGGGAAUCUUCCGCAAUGGGCGAAAGCCUGACGGAGCAACGCCGCGUGAGUGAUGAAGGUCUUCGGAUCGUAAAACUCUGUUAUUAGGGAAGAACAUAUGUGUAAGUAACUGUGCACAUCUUGACGGUACCUAAUCAGAAAGCCACGGCUAACUACGUG